rnacentral:lncRNA from 1 species
UUUGCAGAUGAUGUGGUUUUAUACCCCCAGAGGUAUGAAGAUAGAGUACCUACGCAUUGCAUUCAUAUGCAUUCAUUGAAGUGAUAUUUGCAGAUGAUGUGGUUUUAUACCCCCAGAGGUAUGAAGAUAGAGUACCUACACAUUGCAUUCCUAUGCAUACAUUGAAGUGAUAUUUGCAGGUAUUGUUGACGCAGGGAAGUGUUAUAGAACCUAUUGUGGUUGUUCGAGGAAAUGAGAUGGUAUUGGUUAUAGUGGGACUACUGUGUUCUAUAUCUACAAGUAUUUCUGAUUUUUUUAUUGUGUCUCUUUUAAAAUGUUGAUGAAUUCAAUUUGUGGUUUAAAUAUCUCGUCAGAACAAUUAGCUUGCUGAGAUGUUUCAUCUCACUCUUGCAUUACUCAAUGCAGGUGCUUGUUGCUCAUCAAGGGGAGUGGGAAGUAGCAGCACAUCCACCUUCACUCUCAUAAUAAUGCUGCCCAGACACAACCAUGAUUUAAUUAGAAACUUCUUGUCAAAGGAUGUUUGUUUUUAACUAGUCGUGUGCUCUGAUUAAUUCAGUUCAUUGUUGUUAUGGUUGUCUUCCCAUUGCUAGCAGAUUAUUAAUGUCUUAUAUGUUUUCUUAUCAUGAUAUCUAUUUAUACUUUGUUGCUUCCCCCGUUUAUGCAAUUUUCAAAGGAGAUGCUGUCGAAAUUUUAUAUAUGAAUGUUAGAUGUGUAGUUUAGUAGCAUUCUGGGGUGUUUGUGGAUCCCGGGGUGUUACAGUUGGUAUCAAAGGAUAGGCUUUAGAUUCUUGGCAAUUUGAAGAUAAAUUUGACACACUUGCACAUAUAGGAAGGGUAUGGGUUCAAAUAUCUUUGAUAUAUAUUAAUGUCUUUGGAGUGCAGAUGACAAUAGUUUCACCCCUCCCUAUUCCUUUACGGUGAUGUGGUAAGUUGUUUAUGGCUUAAUGCUUGAUAUAAUUUAUUUCUGAAAUUUUGAUAUUGUUUUAUUAAUGCGGUAGAUAUCGCUGGUCAUUGGUGAGAAUGAAGUUGUUAUUAUGUUUGUGAUAUACAAGUAUGCCUAUGUCGUUUUCACCAUGUUUUUCAUGGUUGAGUUUUAUUACAAUAAUAUUGUUAUAUAUGCUUGAUUGUGGAUGUUUCUAAGAGGAGUGUGAAUUGCGUGUUUUGGGGUACAAGGUAAUCAUCAAUUUGAAUUUAAGUUGUUGAGCGGUUGGUGGAUAGCUCCAACUAUCAUUGCAAAGAAUGAUUGUUUAUGUUGAGAAACCAGUUUUGAAAGAAAUGAAUAUUGGUACUUUAUAUGGAUUUUUGGGGGAAGUCUUUUCAUAGCCAGAAUGGCUUACAUGUCUCUCUCAUAUUGUGUGUUCUAGUUGCCACAAAGCCUAGAUGUGGUUUAAAGUGGUUGCCUAUUAGUCAUACUAAUUGUAGAAUAAAUCUUUGAUUCUCUUGAUCCAUUGAUUAUGUAUUGAUACAUUGAGGAUCUGAUGGUUCCCUUUUCGAUGCAUGCUUGUGGAGCCAUUUUUUUAGACCACCUAUCUAUUGGUUUGAAGGAAGUCCUUGCCUAGCCUAGAGUUGGUUGGGUGUGGCUAGUCACCUACUCCUAGAUGAUGUGGUGUUUACAUCAGCUUAAUAUGUUUGUCAAAUGUGUGAAGGAUUAGGGGUUAUUAUUAUUGACUUUGUAUGUCUGGUACUUUGAGUGCAUCGUAUGAUAGAAUGAAAUGUAAGUUUCUGAACUACAGUAGAUGAAGACUUAUAUUAUGUGUAGGUUAUCCUUACUAGUUGGAUAUUUUUCUUAGUUGAGAUGUUGAAUGAAGUAUAGUGACAUGGGUUAAGCAAGUAUUGUGUUGUUGUUGGGCUAUCAGUGCUCUAUGUAGAGUUUUUGGCAUUUCUUCGAUGAACUAUGCCGCACAAGAUGUUAUUGGCUUCUUUUGGCUUUAUUGCUCCAUUAGUUCUAUAGAUUUUCUCCCUUUUGGUGGGGUGUAAGGAAUGUUAGAUUACAUGAUUAUCUUUUCAUGAUGGCAAGAAUAAGGUUUAGAAAGAUUAGGAGUUUUGUUCCAAUAGAACUACUUGUUUCAUGGUGCUUUAAGGUGAGGUGUUUGAUCUUCUUAUACAUUCGUCGGGUGUAGAUGUUUCACCAUUUAAUUAAAAUUAAUGGUUGAAGUUGGUAAGGGUUGUGCUUGGUCCAUAUUACCCCUUCAUAAAAGAGUGUUGUCUUAAGACAUUGAUGUUGAUGUAUAGCUGCAUCCAAAUUUGAUGGUGUGAAAUUGUAGUGUUGAUUGCAACUAUGACAUGCUUUGAGCUUCAUUACAUGUUGUUUCAUGCUUGAUGUCAGGUCGUGUAGUUUCCUUAGACAAUUAGUCCAAGGUAGAAGUUCUUGUGUUAAUUAAGACCAAUAAUGGAUCCAUGUUUUGAAUUGUGGUGCUAUAUGGGGUACCUUGGGUGUUUUGCUUGGAGUGGCCGAAUUCGAGGUCGAAUUCUUUUUAAGGGGGGUAGAAUGUAAUAUCCCAAAAAAAUGUUGACCAAAAGUUAAUCUCUGGUGCGUGGAUGAGGUAAAGGGUUGUGGGCCAUUGGAUGCAAAGAUAGAAGUCAUCUGAGGCGUCGUUUCUUUCUCCCACAAAAACCCUAGGUGGCCACCCCUUUUUUUCCCUUCACCCCCCCUCUUGGCCGCCACCCCCUUUUCUCCCCCUUGGCUGGACGCCCCCUCCCCCUAUGGCAGCCAUCAUCCAUUGCUUCCUCCCCCAAGAUCUCCCCCUACGCAGCAAGGAUCGAGAAAAGGAGGGGCACGUUGAAUUGAAGAGGAAGAGAGGAUCAAGGAGAUGUUCUUCCCCAUCUCUUCUUGAAGAUUUCUUGGGGAAACCCUAGGUGGCUACACUCCAGAUCAUGUCUAGUACAUUUCUUCUUCUUCGAUGAAGGCAAGUGAAUGUAGCGGUGGUUGCUUCCGUUCUGACCUGUUAUUUCUAUUGCCUACACUCUAAUAUUCAGAAGUAUCAGAUUCUUUCAUAAUUGGACUCUAUGGUGAUGCUUUACUUGCUUGCAUUAUACUGAUGCUCAAUCAUAUAUUGAUGAUGAUUAUGAUUUGAGUAUGACUCACGAGAUUAAUUCACAUAUCUGAAGGUAAAUGAAGUAUUAUUUGAGGUUGGUAUUGUAUCUGAAGAUAAAUGAAGUAUUAUUUGAGGUUUGUGUUGUAUCUGAAGGAAGUGAAGUUUAUUGAUAAAUGUAGCAUGCCAUAUACAUUGCAUGACUCAUUUGCAUAUGAAGUUUUGUCGUGACCUAUGGUCCGACCGUACCGGUACAACUUAGCAUCGUACGUUGCCCGAGAAGGGGUAUGAUGCGGCUUCAUACCCUUAGAGGUAUGAAGGCAGAGGACAUAAGCAUUGCAUUCAUAUGCAUUCAUUGAAGUGAUAUUUGCAGAUGAUGUGGUUUUAUACCCCCAGAGGUAUGAAGAUAGAGUACCUACGCAUUGCAUUCAUAUGCAUUCAUUGAAGUGAUAUUUGCAGAUGAUGUGGUUUUAUACCCCCAGAGGUAUGAAGAUAGAGUACCUACACAUUGCAUUCCUAUGCAUACAUUGAAGUGAUAUUUGCAGGUAUUGUUGACGCAGGGAAGUGUUAUAGAACCUAUUGUGGUUGUUCGAGGAAAUGAGAUGGUAUUGGUUAUAGUGGGACUACUGUGUUCUAUAUCUACAAGUAUUUCUGAUUUUUUUAUUGUGUCUCUUUUAAAAUGUUGAUGAAUUCAAUUUGUGGUUUAAAUAUCUCGUCAGAACAAUUAGCUUGCUGAGAUGUUUCAUCUCACUCUUGCAUUACUCAAUGCAGGUGCUUGUUGCUCAUCAAGGGGAGUGGGAAGUAGCAGCACAUCCACCUUCACUCUCAUAAUAAUGCUGCCCAGACACAGCCAUGAUUUAAUUAGAAACUUCUUGUCAAAGGAUGUUUGUUUUUAACUAGUCGUGCGCUCUGAUUAAUUCAGUUCAUUGUUGUUAUGGUUGUCUUCACAUUGCUAGCAGAUUAUUAAUGUCUUAUAUGUUUUCUUAUCA